CGGCGUGCAGCGCGGCCGGAGCGGAGGCGGAGCCGGCAGUGGGACGCGCGAGGUCUAAGGGCAAGCGGGAAGUGGCGGGCGGGGACGGAGCGGGGCGUGCAGAAAAGUUUCAUGACUCAGCCUGUAACCCUUCUGGACACCUAUACACACUGGCAACACACCUCGGAGGUUGGCCAGAAGUGGAAGGCGGAGGAAGAUGUAGCGCUGUAGGCCAAGAAGACCCGUGUGUCAGACCCCAUUAGCAGCUGGGAGAGCUUGGAAGAGGAGGCGGCGGCAGAAGCUGAAACCGCCAAAGCC